rnacentral:misc_RNA from 1 species
ACGGAAACCUCGGUGCAGAGGCUGGAUCACAGCCGUGGGGACCUGCUCGACUCGGUCCGGUCGCAGCUGAACUCAAAGAUAUAGAUCUAUCGCGUGGUUUACUUAUCGAGCGCACAAGCGAUACGAUAAGCAUGUGUUGUGUGCGUUUUAUGCAACGAGAUAUACAGCGCACCUGGUUCGCAUACUACGGCAGCGAGCAGGACAGACCGUGCAUACGUCAGCGAGGGCUUCUGGGCCGUCAGCUUGCUCGUUGCCUCGAUCGAAUCCAAUGAAAUAAGGACUGGUGCGCUUCUGGUCCUCGACUUGUGUCCGUGGACUCACUUCGAGUCCGCUUCGCAACGUGCCUCAAUAGAAUACGCUUGAACUGGGGCAUGCCUCUCAUUCAGGAUCGACCCAGGUCCGCAGAUUCAUUUCGAGCCCGCGCCACCAAGCGCCUUUUCCAAAAUUCUCCUGCUUUUACCGGUCGUUUGCAAUGCAUCCAACGAGCCGCUGUAUUCUUCGCUCCAGACCGUGGCGGUAGCAACUUUUCCUGUUAGCGUCCAGAGUCUCCGUGGCCUUUCAGACAGGCCAGAAAUCUCCUGCACAGCCUCAGGGCGACAUCGAGCCUCCAUUAGCGCACUGGCCCGCGCUGGGCUCGCUGCGCAUUCGUAAGCAGGUUCGUGGAAGACCCAAACUUUGGAUGUUCACUACGAGCGAUUGUCGCAAUAUCGCCGUUUUACGCGGAACAUUCCUCGAAACUUUAAUCGAUACAACCUCACCAUGUUCGAGUAGCACAAAGCAUAUACUGCCGGUGUUUCAUCUUUGAUACGAAAAUCGAUGCAAGUUCGGAAAGCCGGAACCGUCGCCGGAUAGACGCCCAUCCACCAGGCUCGUUCGCUGUCUACUUGACAUGCAGCGUCGCGGAUCAUAUCUCCAAUCGGAGACGAAUAACUGCGAUCUUCAGAUUCUGAUAUUAAAGAACGCAGCGCUAUUCACGUACGACACAGCAGUUGUUGACACAUGCGGCGUUUGUGCGGGGCGCACGCUCCGAGCAAAAGUCGACGAGGUGCGAUCAGGUGCGGCCACCGAGGGCCACACAGUUCCGAACGAACGAAACGGAUUCACCAAGUUGCUCCAUUUUUCAUUGACGCUCAACGCAACCAGCGCGGCGCAUAUUCUUUAUCAUAGGUCACAGACUCUAUACGAAAAAGUUCAAUGAACUGCUGGUCCAGGAUGCGAACUUUGCUGCCAGCAAAUCGUCUGUAUUCAUCAAAAAUCGAGGUGAGGCUCCAACCCUGCAUUUUCCGCAGCGUGCCAAUGACUACACCCGAUCGAUGUUUCCCUGAAUUGCAGUGCAUCAAUAUCGGAUGAUUGCGACAGUCCAAGAGCACUCGCAAUGCAUCCGCGACCACGUCCUCGGGUAUGAAUUGAAAGGGCUCUUUGUUCGGUAGAAUGCCACAUUGAACAAUCUGAACAUUGUGCGCGCGACACCAGGCGGUGUUUGCCUCACUGUAAUCCUCAGGGCAGAGGUACAGAAUCGUUUUCAGCUGAAGCUUUUUCAUGAACGCAUGAUUCAUGGAGUUCGGAUAACCCGAGCGGUAGAUACCCGGUGCUGCCAUGGAAAAGUUCAGCGGCGGGAUCAAGACCCCAUCCAUGGUACUGUGCUAUGUGCGAAAGCGGUGCAACGGGACCCGCCUCGUACAACCUGCGCCCGAGUCUCUUAUCGCUUGCGACACCGCCUUGCCUAUAUUCAAACCUGCGUCAACUGGAAGCAGCUUUCGAGCCGAAGAGACUCGCGUCUGUUCCGGUAAACACGUGUCAGCCUGGACGUUGCCUCAGACUGCGCGGCAACGGUAAAAAACUGAAAGGCACGUCGGCUUCGCGUCUUGAAUAGCGCUUCCAGGUGCUACCGCUCGUACAACGACAGUCUUCCGUCCAAGAAACCGAAAACGCGCGUCGUCUGUACCUAGAGCACACGCAAACACGCACCCGUUCUCGCAGGCACAGCAACCGGUUCGGAACGCUUAUCUGGCGCACAGCAGGAAUGAAAGAAUCACCUGCUGGAAAAUAAAAUAGAGCAGCGGG